CUCAUUAAGUCGGUUAUAGUUUAUUUGAUGGUCUCUUUUGUCUUUUUUACCUACUUGGAUAACCGUGGUAAUUCUAGAGCUAAUACAUGCGCAAGGUCCCGAGCGCGGGGGGUGGGCUUCACGGCUCCGUCCUCGCAUGCGCAGAGGGAUGUGUUUAUUAGGUUAAAAACCAGCAGCCAGCAAUGGCUACAUCCUCUGGUGAUUCAUAGUAACUCUUUAGGAUCGCAUUCAUG
rnacentral:rRNA from 1 species